rnacentral:rRNA from 1 species
UACAGAGGUCUCAAGCGUUGUUCGGAUUCAUUGGGCGUAAAGGGUGCGUAGGCGGCGCGGUAAGUCGGGUGUGAAAUUUCGAGGCUUAACUUCGAAACUGCAUUCGAUACUGCCGUGCUAGAGGACUGGAGAGGAGACUGGAAUUUACGGUGUAGCGGUGAAAUGCGUAGAUAUCGUAAGGAAGACCAGUGGCGAAGGCGGGUCUCUGGACAGUUCCUGACACUGAGACACGAAGGCCAGGGGAGCAAACGGG